UACGUAGGUGACAAGCGUUAUCCGGAAUUACUGGGCGUAAAGCGCACGCAGGCGGCGCAUUAAGUCUGACGUGAAAUCUCCUGGCUUAACUGGGAGGGGUCGUUGGAGACUGAUGUGCUUGAGGCGAUGAGAGGGGUGUAGAAUUCCCGGUGUAGUGGUGGAAUGCGUAGAUAUCAGGAGGAACACCCAUGGCGAAGGCAGCUUCCUGGGUCCAAUCUGACGCUGAGGCGCGAAAGCGUGGGGAGCGAACGGG
rnacentral:rRNA from 1 species